rnacentral:lncRNA from 1 species
UUUUUUUUGAGAGAAAGAUAUCAUGCUAUGUACCCGCUUCGUUUAUUUCAUUUAGAAAUAAACUUAGCUGGAAAUUUGAAUCAACUAGAAUUCGAACUUGGGUCUCGAAUACCAACCACCAAGCUCUUUUCUUAUCAUUGUUCAUUUGAAUUUAAUAUAUUACUAGUGCACUUAUCCGCGUGAACGCACGAGGCGAUGAAGAGAGAAAGAAAGAGAGGUGUAGGAAGGGAGAAUGACAAAAGAUG